GUCAAGUCAUCAUGGCCCUUACGCCCAGGGCUACACACGUGCUACAAUGGCGCUUACAGAGUGUUGCGAGCAGGUGACUGCGAGCCAAUCACAAAAAGAGCGUCUCAGUUCGGAUUGCAGGCUGCAACUCGCCUGCAUGAAGUUGGAAUCGCUAGUAAUCGCGGGUCAGCCACACUACGGUGAAUACGUUCCCGGGCCUU
rnacentral:rRNA from 1 species